rnacentral:misc_RNA from 1 species
GAUUAUGGUACCUAGGCUGUUGGAG